rnacentral:rRNA from 1 species
CACAAGGGGUGAAGCCUGCGGUUCAAUUGGAGUCAACGCCGGGAACCCUACCGGGAGCGACAGCAGAUUGAAGGUCAAGCUGAAGACUUUACCAGACGAGCUGAGAGGAGGUGCAUGGCCGUCGCCAGCUCGUGCCGUGAGGCGUCCUGUUAAGUCAGGCAACGAGCGAGACCCCUACUUUUAAUUGCUAUCAGAGAUCGCAAGGUCUUUGAGGCUAGUUAGAAGGACUGCCGCCGCUAAGGCGGAGGAAGGAAGGGGCCACGGCAGGUCAGUAUGCCCCGAAACUCCCGGGCCACACGCGGGCUGCAAUGGUAAGGACAAUGGGUCCCAACCUCGAAAGAGAGAGGCAAUCCCCAAACCUUACCCCAGUUGUGACUGAGGGCUGCAACCCGCCCUCACGAAUCUGGAAUCCCUAGUAACCGCGUGUCACCAUCGCGCGGUGAAUACGUCCCUGCUCC